rnacentral:rRNA from 1 species
AGUGAACGCUGGCGGUAGGCCUAACACAUGCAAGUCGAACGGCAGCACAGUAAGAGCUUGCUCUUACGGGUGGCGAGUGGCGGACGGGUGAGGAAUACAUCGGAAUCUACUUUUUCGUGGGGGAUAACGUAGGGAAACUUACGCUAAUACCGCAUACGACCUACGGGUGAAAGCAGGGGAUCUUCGGACCUUGCGCGAUUGAAUGAGCCGAUGUCGGAUUAGCUAGUUGGCGGGGUAAAGGCCCACCAAGGCGACGAUCCGUAGCUGGUCUGAGAGGGUGGUCAGCGACACUGGAACAGAGACACGGUCCAGACGACUACGGGAGGAAGCAGUGGGGAAUAUUGGACAAUGGGCGGAAGCGAGAACCAGCCAUACCGCGUGGGUGAAGAGAGCCUGCGGGUUGUAAAGCCCGUUUGUUGGGAGAGAAAAGCAGCAGGUUAGUACCCCGCUGUGCUGACGGUACCCAAAGAAUAAGCACCGGCUAACUUCGUG